rnacentral:rRNA from 1 species
UACAGAGGGGGCAAGCGUUGUUCGGAAUUACUGGGCGUAACGGGCGCGUAGGCGGCCCGCUAAGUCGAACGUGAAAUCCCCAGGCUCAACCUGGGAACUGCGUCUGAUACUGGAUGGCUUGAAUCCGGGAGAGGGAUGCAGAAUUCCAGGUGUAGCGGUGAAAUGCGUAGAUAUCUGGAGGAAUACCGGUGGCGAAGGCGGCAUCCUGGACCGGCAUUGACGCUGAGGAGCGAAAGCUAGGGGAGCAAACAGG